UACGUAGGGUGCGAGCGUUAAUCGGAAUUACUGGGCGUAAAGCAUGCGCAGGCGGUUUUGUAAGCCAGAUGUGAAAUCCCCGGGCUUAACCUGGGAAUGGCAUUUGGGACUGCAAGGCUCGAGUGCGGCAGAGGAGACUGGAAUUCCUGGUGUAGCAGUGAAAUGCGUAGAUAUCAGGAGGAACACCGAUGGCGAAGGCAGGUCUCUGGGCUGACACUGACGCUCAUGCACGAAAGCGUGGGGAGCAAACAGG
rnacentral:rRNA from 1 species